AGAGUUUGAUCCUGGCUCAGGACGAACGCUGGCGGCGUGCCUAACACAUGCAAGUCGAACGGAGAUAUCCUUCGGGAUAUCUUAGUGGCGAACGGGUGAGUAACGCGUGGGUAACCUGCCCUUUUAUCGGGGAUAACUUGCCGAAAGGUGAGCUAAUACCGGAUGUCCUAUCUUGAACACCUGUUUAAGAUAGCAAAGGU
rnacentral:rRNA from 1 species